GAAUCCGAAUAUCGAGCUGUUGCA
rnacentral:siRNA from 1 species